rnacentral:rRNA from 1 species
GACGAACGCUGGCGGCGUGCCUAAUACAUGCAAGUUGAGCGCUGAAGGUUGGUACUUGUACCAACUGGAUGAGCAGCGCACGGGUGAGUAACGCGUGGGGAAUCUGCCUUUGAGCGGGGGACAACAUUUGGAAACGAAUGCUAAUACCGCAUAAAAACUUUAAACACAAGUUUUAAGUUUGAAAGAUGCAAUUGCAUCACUCAAAGAUGAUCCCGCGUUGUAUUAGCUAGUUGGUGAGGUAAAGGCUCACCAAGGCGAUGAUACAUAGCCGACCCGAGAGGGUGAUCGGCCAAAUUGGGACUGAGACACGGGCCAAGCUCCUACGGGAAGCAGCAGGAGGGAAUCUUCGGCAAUGGACGAAAGUCUGAACGAGCAACGCCGCGGGAGUGAAGAAGGUUUUCGGAUCGUAAAACUCUGUUGGUAGAGAAGAACGUUGGUGAGAGUGGAAAGCUCAUCAAGUGACGGUAACUACCCAGAAAGCGACGGCUAACUACGUG